rnacentral:piRNA from 1 species
UAUUGUGUUCAUUUUGUGCUUAUGUGCAAC